UACGUAGGGUGCAAGCGUUAAUCGGAAUUACUGGGCGUAAAGCGUGCGCAGGCGGUUGUGCAAGGCAGGUGUGAAAUCCCCGGGCUUAACCUGGGAACUGCACUUGUGACUGCACAGCUGGAGUACGGCAGAGGGGGAUGGAAUUCCGCGUGUAGCAGUGAAAUGCGUAGAUAUGCGGAGGAACACCGAUGGCGAAGGCAGUCCCCUGGGCCUGUACUGACGCUCAUGCACGAAAGCGUGGGGAGCAAACAGG
rnacentral:rRNA from 1 species